rnacentral:SRP_RNA from 2 species
GCCAGGCGUGGUGGUGCACACCUGUAGUCCCAGCUACAUGGGAGGCUAAGGUGGGAGGAUGGCUUCAGCCCAGGAGUUCAAGGCUGCAGUGAGCUAUGAUUGAGCCACUGCACUCCAGCCUGGGCUACAAAGUGAGACCCUGUCUCAA